UACGAAGGGGGCUAGCGUUGUUCGGAAUUACUGGGCGUAAAGGGCUCGUAGGCGGUCUGUCGCGUCGGGAGUGAAAACUCAGGGCUUAACCCUGAGCCUGCUUCCGAUACGGGCAGACUAGAGGUAUGCAGGGGAGAACGGAAUUCCUGGUGUAGCGGUGAAAUGCGCAGAUAUCAGGAGGAACACCGGUGGCGAAGGCGGGUCUCUGGGCAACAACUGACGCUGAGGAGCGAAAGCGUGGGGAGCAAACAGG
rnacentral:rRNA from 1 species